rnacentral:rRNA from 1 species
AACCUGGUUGGGUGGUCUGCCUUCACGGUACGUACUGCUCGGCCGGGUCCUACCUCUUGGUGAGCCGGCAUGCCCUUAAUUGGGUGUGUCGGGGAACCAGGACUUUUACCUUGAAAAAAUCAGAGUGUUCAAAGCAGGCAUAUUUGCUCGAAUACAUUAGCAUGGAAUAAUAGAAUAGGA